AGAAUCAACGCUGGCGGCGCGCUUAACGACAUGCAAGUCGAGCGAGAAAGUGGAGCAAUCCAUGAGUAAAGCGGCGUACGGGUGAGUAACACGUGGGUAAUCUACCUUUUAGUGGGGAAUAACCCUGGGAAACCGGGGCUAAUACCGCAUAAUCCUGCAAAGGGAAGCAGCAAUGCGCUGAAAGAGGAGCCCGCGGCCGAUUAGCUAGUUGGUGAGGUAAUGGCUCACCAAGGCGGUGAUCGGUAGCCGGCCUGAGAGGGCACACGGCCACACUGGCACUGAAACACGGGCCAGACUCCUACGGGAGGCAGCAGUGGGGAAUCUUGCACAAUGGAGGCAACUCUGAUGCAGCGACGCCGCGUGAGCGAUGAAGCCCUUCGGGGUGUAAAGCUCUUUCGGCAGGGACGAUAAUGACGGUACCUGAAGAAGAAGCUGCGGCUAACUACGUGCCAGCAGCCGC
rnacentral:rRNA from 1 species